rnacentral:lncRNA from 1 species
CAAAAACAGAAAAUAGUACGAGGUCUAAGGCCUUUUUCUCCCUAGAGAAGCAAGACCUGUAACUCAAUCUGUGAGAUCAUUCCCACGGAGGAGAGUGGAACCCUGAGGUGUGGUUCCCAUCGUGGGGACUCAGACCGUCUGAAUCUGGACCCCUGUUCUUAACUUGCUGCUCGUGUGAAUGUGCGUACGUCACCGCACCUCCUCCAGUCUCCUUCGGUUCAUCUGUGACAGCGUGCUUUCUAACAAGUUUGACAACGAGCAGCCCGUGCACUUCAGCAAUUGUUGUCACGGUCCCCCUGGAUAGAACUUCUGCACACAACACAAGGACAGAACGCUAAGCAACAAAAGAGCUCAACAGCUAAGGAGACCUGUACUCAGUGCUAAGGACCAGCGAAGGGGGAAGAAGAAGCUUUGUGUGAGGUUGCAGUUACUGCAAUAACAGCACCCGGUGAGCUAGAAUUACCAUGCAAGUGGUGUCCUGGAGAUGAGAUAAGGCUGGAGCUGGUUCUGAAGGAAGAAAAAAGGACAGCUGUUGAGGAGAGAAGAGACACCUCCCGUUUGCAGACAGUGGGAAAAUCUGUACAGCACUCGGUUGGUUUGUGUUGAUCUGCCCUGAGUAUUGCUGGACAAUAUUGCAUUCCUCCUCCAUGACUUGGUAAAUACGUCCAGUUCCUGCUGGACUCUCCCCAUGGCUCCCGAGUGAAACUCCUUGUACUUGUUCUUAACUACCGGACAUUCAGACGCAUAAGAAGAACUAGAAUAGCUACAGGAGGCGUAUGAGAAGAAAAUUAUAAGGAGGGAGUAUUCUGGACCAAAUUGUAGACUAAGGCUAUAAAAGAGUGAAAUAAACAAUCAACCUGACUUUUUGCAAUCUUUCCUGGUAGAGGUGGGAAAUUUUGGUUUUUAUUGUUGGUUUUAUUAGGGGAAACUUAAGUGCAGACAUGAAAUAAGAUGGUUGUAGUAGCUGGUAUUACUGGGAUUAACCAAGGA